CCUACGGGGGGCAGCAGUGGGGAAUAUUGCACAAUGGGGGAAACCCUGAUGCAGCGACGCCGCGUGAGUGAAGAAGUAUUUCGGUAUGUAAAGCUCUAUCAGCAGGGAAGAAGAAAGACGGUACCUGACUCAGAAGCCUCGGCUAACUACGUGCCAGCAGCCGCGGUAAUACGUAGGGGGCAAGCGUUAUCCGGAUUUACUGGGUGUAAAGGGAGCGUAGACGGCUGUGCAAGUCUGAAGUGAAAGCCCAGGGCUCAACCCUGGGACUGCUUUGGAAACUGUGGAGCUAGAGUGCUGGAGAGGUAAGUGGAAUUCCUAGUGUAGCGGUGAAAUGCGUAGAUAUUAGGAGGAACCCCAGUGGCGAAGGCGGCUUACUGGACAGUAACUGACGUUGAGGCUCGAAAGCGUGGGGAGCAAACAGGAUUAGAUACCCGUGUAGUC
rnacentral:rRNA from 1 species